rnacentral:lncRNA from 1 species
ACUGCCUUGUGGAGGAUAUGCAGUCGCUUGGUUCGACUGGAACAGCUUGCCGCUCUCUGAUGGCACGCGGAGGGAGAAUAAUUAAAAAGGCCAGCAUCACUUGCUAAGUGAGUAAACACAAAGCCGUUCCAAACGUGCUCUCCAGCUAAUGAGAAGCUGUAAUUUCUUAUACUUGAAGGCGAAACAAGACAGUGAUGGGGCUUAGUGGAGUGUGUGUUUGCCUGGAUAUGGAGGUGGGGGUGGUGGUGAUGGUGGUGGUGGUGGUGGUGGUGGAGGAGAUAAAUCGACUAAUUGUUGGCAAUGUUUAAAAAAGGGAUUACUGGAAAAGACAGUGAAAUGAUGACAGGAAAACAUCUUGGACCAGAGCCAAAAAAAAAAAAAAAAAUCGAGGCAAAUCAAGUCUGCAGCUCAGAGGAAACACCCCUUGCUCCUGUCGGAGGCUCGGACAGGAAUUGCCUGGUGUUCCUCAGCCAACAUGAAAUCCUGUGUGGGCACCAGGGGACAGGACCAGGGACCACCAGGGUGUCCAGAGGAAGGAACCACAGCAUUCCAGGUUACACAGCUAUGUCAUACUUUAAGAAAACAAAACAGUAAAAACCAACCUGUCCUUUCCUUUUAAUUGGAGCUCCUGCAUGCUCAAAAUUGCUUCGGUUUAUUAAAAGCAACCCCUAAAUGUGCCUUCUGAUAAUAGGAGCUGCCGAUUCUCUGUUUGUCUCCAGGAAGCUGCUGCAAUGUUACAAAAAUAUCCUGGAAAAAGGAGGUUGAGGAGAUUCGGUUUUCCGUAGACUGGGCUUCUGGCGAUGGUGCCAGGUGACUGUCUUUUGCCAUUUGAACCACCAUGGGGGAGCUAGUCUGGGGUUCCUCUUCUGUUGUCACCCAGCUGUGGCAUGGUGAGUCCAAAACCAGUCAUGAAUAGGACUUUUUUAAAUACAGGGUUCCAAACACAAAUGACAAAGUGGAGACCCCGAGGAAUAAAAUGAGCUGGAUCUUCUUUUAUUUCUGGGUGUUCAUUUAACUGAGCUAUCUGGUUCUCUUUCACCUGAAUGGAAUUGGGGCUUUUUUUAUUGAAAGGAUUUCUGAGACUGGAAGGUCAAUAGAUAAGAUGUCCUCCUUGUGACUGGGGUUUUAUUCUCCAUGUUGCUUUUUAAAUUCGGACUCCCCCAUACAUUGCAAGUUUCUUGAGCAGGAGAAAUAUAUCCUGCAGAAGUAUGCCUUGGAAACCCAGAGGAGGAGGAAUUAA